UACGUAGGGACCGAGCGUUGUCCGGAAUCAUUGGGCGUAAAGAGCGUGUAGGCGGCCAACUAAGUCCUGCGUGAAAUCUCGGGGCUCAACCCCGAGCGGUCGUGGGAAACUGGUUGGCUAGAGUGCGGGAGAGGAGAGUGGAAUUCCUGGUGUAGCGGUGAAAUGCGCAGAUAUCAGGAAGAACACCCGUGGCGAAGGCGGCUCUCUGGAACGCAACUGACGCUGAGGCACGAAAGCGUGGGGAGCAAACAGG
rnacentral:rRNA from 1 species